rnacentral:rRNA from 1 species
GAUGAACGCUGGCGGCGUGCUUAACACAUGCAAGUCGAACGAAGCACUUUAACCUGAUUCUUCGGAUGAAGGUUUUUGUGACUGAGUGGCGGACGGGUGAGUAACGCGUGGGUAACCUGCCUCAUACAGGGGGAUAACAGUUAGAAAUGACUGCUAUUACCGCAUAAGACCACAGAGCCGCAUGGCUCGGUGGGAAAAACUCCGGUGGUAUGAGAUGGACCCGCGUCUGAUUAGGUAGUUGGUGGGGUAACGGCCUACCAAGCCAACGAUCAGUAGCCGACCUGAGAGGGUGACCGGCCACAUUGGGACUGAGACACGGCCCAAACUCCUACGGGAGGCAGCAGUGGGGAAUAUUGCACAAUGGGGGAAACCCUGAUGCAGCGACGCCGCGUGAGCGAAGAAGUAUUUCGGUAUGUAAAGCUCUAUCAGCAGGGAAGAAAAUGACGGUACCUGACGAAGAAGCACCGGCUAAAUACGUG